CCCUUAGAUGUUCUGGGCUGCACGCGCGCUACACUGAUGCGCUCAACGAGUUUAUGAACUUGCCCGGAAGGGUUGGUUAAUCUUUUUAAAACGCAUCGUGAUGGGGAUAGAUUAUUGCAAUUAUUAAUCUUCAACGAGGAAUUCCUAGUAAGCGCGAGUCAUCAGCUCGUGCUGAUUACGUCCCUGCCCUUUGUACACACCGCCCGUCGCUCCUACCGAUUGGGUGUGCUGGUGAAAUGUUCGGAUCGGCCGUUUGUCGCGGUUUCCGCGUCAUGUGGCUGAGAAGUUCAUUAAACCCUCCCACCUAGAGGAAGGAGAAGUCGUAACA
rnacentral:rRNA from 1 species